rnacentral:rRNA from 1 species
UACGUAGGGUGCAAGCGUUGUCCGGAAUUAUUGGGCGUAAAGAGCUUGUAGGCGGUUCGUCGCGUCUGCUGUGAAAUUUCGGGGCUCAACCCCGAACUUGCAGUGGGUACGGGCAGACUAGAGUGUGGUAGGGGAGACUGGAAUUCCUGGUGUAGCGGUGAAAUGCGCAGAUAUCAGGAGGAACACCCGUGGCGAAAGCGGCUCUCUGGGACGGUACUGACGCUGAGACGCGAAAGCGUGGGGAGCGAACAGG